rnacentral:rRNA from 1 species
GCCGGAGGGUGCGAGCGUUGUUCGGAAUUACUGGGCGUAAAGCGUGCGCAGGCGGCUUCUCAAGUCAGGGGUGAAAGCCCAGAGCUCAACUCUGGAAUUGCCUUUGAGACUGAGUGGCUUGAGUACGGGAGAGGUGAGUGGAAUUCCCAGUGUAGAGGUGAAAUUCGUAGAUAUUGGGAAGAACACCGGUGGCGAAGGCGGCUCACUGGCCCGUAACUGACGCUCAUGCACGACAGCGUGGGGAUCAAACAGG